GGGGCGCCAAAAACCUGCUGUUGGGAAAAAAUUUGCUUUUGCUUCGACAUUUUUGCUCAGAAAUAUUGCAAGAUAUGUAAACAGGAACAGAGACAGAGACGGUUGCCUGGUACCAUGACACAUUUACCAACAUUUUCGAUAUUGUUGUUCGUUUUGUUGCUGUUGUAUCUGGCGGAUGACAAAUCUGGCAAGGCAUUCGGGCCACCUGUUGUUGUUGUUAUUACUGUUGCACGGAAAAGCAAACAAACAACACCGCUGGGGCUCUGCCUCGUGCCUUGUGUCUCAUGUCUCGUUUUGCCAGCGCAGCCAAAAUAAAAUAAAAGUUGGCUAAAAAAAACUGCAAUAGACUAGAUUUUGUAAACAACAAGUUGAAAUGCCCUACCCGGGAAAUCGAAGUAUUUUAAU
ensembl:ncRNA lncRNA:CR45692 long non-coding RNA:CR45692